GAGGUUGUAAUGAAUGACACCGUAAAGUUGAUAUAUGGGGUGACAUGCAUGGUACUUAAUUGAUAAAUGCAUGAUUAACAAACUCAUUGGCUAUGUUAUUAUUGUCUGUUUUUUGAAAGAUUGACAUGGUGACAUGGUACUUAAUUAAAUUAAUCUCUUAAUGUAAUACUCCCCUCUGUUUCAUUUUAACUGAGUUCUUGGCUCAUUUAACACUUAUUAAGAAAAAGUGUAUAAG
rnacentral:lncRNA from 1 species